rnacentral:tRNA from 1 species
GAGCCUGUGGCCAAGUUAGGAUAAGGCACCGGACUUCUAAUCCGGAGAUCGAGGGUUCGAAUCCCCCCAGGCUCGCCA